rnacentral:lncRNA from 1 species
AUUAACCUCCUACUGACGGGGCAUGCAGUAUCUAAUGUAUGGGAUGGUGAUAGAGAGUGCUCAGGAAUGCAACUUCUCGGUAUCCAUGAACAAGCAGCUGUAGGAUUCUUAACACUAAUGGAAGCUUUACGAUAUUGUAAGGUUGGUUCUUACUUGAAAUCUCCAAAAUUCCCUAUUUGGAUUGUUGGCAGCGAAACUCACCUCACCGUAUUUUUUGCCAAGGAUAUGGCUUUAGUUGCCCCUGAAGCGCCUUCGGAACAAGCCAGAAGAGUUUUCCAAACCUAUGAUCCGGAAGAUAAUGGAUUCAUAGCUGACUCCCUUCUAGAAGAUGUCAUGAAAGCCUUGGACCUUGUUUCAGAUCCCGAGUAGUGAGUGCAACUGGAAGUGUUAUUUUGAUCUAUCAAAAAAAGAUUCUAUCAAGUUGAAACAUUAUAUACAUUUUUACGCUAUAUAUAACAAAACAAUAAAAAUGUAUGGAAAAAGACCUA